AUCACCCAACUUAAGGCUACAAAUAUAUAGUCGCUAAUUCCCCAUUUUUAGUGUUGUAUAAAAGGCGACGACAAUGAAAACUCCGUUGUGUAUUGCCAAACUAGUUGUCGUCAUUUCAACCCUAUUGUUUAUAUUGACGAAGCCUCUUGAAGCUCGGCAGGGUCCGAUGCCACCGAUAGGUUGUCACUAUCGUAGACUCUUUGGUUUUGCCCCUUGUGAACCACCUCCAUGAGCUUGAUCUUUAUAGCAUUACUCGAAUUUAUGUUAUUCAUAUUCGAGUGUAAGUGUAGAAUAAAAAUUUAGGGGCAAAUCCAAAGUGGGAGCCCUUACCCUUAAUAAAAUAGGUAUAUUCCAAAUUUAGACCCUCUUCUUACUAAGCAAUACAAUUUAAUCUUUUUAGCGUUAGAAUUUUAAGUUCUCCAAUAAUUUAUACUCUUAUUCUGUUCUUCAAUAAAAAUUUCUUGAAUUCACCCUUGUUGUUAUGGAUAUAUUUAAUUUGUAAUUUUUUUCUUUAUAUUUUGAGCUUCAUUGGAAGCUCAUUAUUUAAUAUGAAUGCUUGAACAUGUGUUUGAGAAUACUUAUAUUAAUUUUAAAUUGUUUUUGAAAAGUAUAUUAAUUUAAAC
rnacentral:lncRNA from 1 species